GAUGAACGCUAGCGGCAGGCCUAACACAUGCAAGUCGAGGGAGGAGCUUUCGGGCUUCGACCGGCGUACGGGUGCGUAACGCGUAUACAAUCUGCCUUUCACAUAGGGAUAGCCCGAAGAAAUUUGGAUUAAUACCUAAUGGUAUAUAGGAGUGGCAUCACAUUUAUAUUAAAGCUGAGGCGGUGAAAGAUGAGUAUGCGUUCUAUUAGCUAGUUGGAGAGGUAACGGCUCCCCAAGGCGACGAUAGAUAGGGGUUCUGAGAGGGAUAUCCCCCACACUGGGACAGGGAUACGAGCCAGGGUCUAACGGAAGGAGGCAGUGGGGAAUAUUGGAAAAGGGUCGGAAAAUUGAUCCAGCCAUGCCGGGUGAAGGAAGAAGGCCUUAAGGGUGGUAAACUGUUUUUUCAGGGGAAGAAAAAGGACUAAGAAUAGUUUGAAGAAGGAACUUUGCGAAUAAACACCGGCUAACUCCGG
rnacentral:rRNA from 1 species